GACGAACGCGGGCGGCGUGCCUAAUACAUGCAAGUUGAGCGCUGAAGGUUGGUACUUGUACCGACUGGAUGAGCAGCGAACGGGUGAGUAACGCGUGGGGAAUCUGCCUUUGAGCGGGGGACAACAUUUGGAAACGAAUGCUAAUACCGCAUAAAAACUUUAAACACAAGUUUUAAGUUUGAAAGAUGCAAUUGCAUCACUCAAAGAUGAUCCCGCGUUGUAUUAGCUAGUUGGUGAGGUAACGGCUCACCAAGACGAUGAUACAUAGCCGACCUGAGAGGGUGAUCGGCCACAUUGGGACUGAGACACGGCCCAAACUCCUACGGGAGGCAGCAGUAGGGAAUCUUCGGCAAUGGGGGCAACCCUGACCGAGCAACGCCGCGUGAGUGAAGAAGGUUUUCGGAUCGUAAAACUCUGUUGGUAGAGAAGAACGUUGGUGAGAGUGGAAAGCUCAUCAAGUGACGGUAACUACCCAGAAAGGGACGGCUAACUACGUGCCAGCAGCCGCGGUAAUACGUAGGUCCCGAGCGUUGUCCGGAUUUAUUGGGCGUAAAGCGAGCGCAGGUGGUUUAUUAAGUCUGGUGUAAAAGGCAGUGGCUCAACCAUUGUAUGCAUUGGAAACUGGUAGACUUGAGUGCAGGAGAGGAGAGUGGAAUUC
rnacentral:rRNA from 1 species